rnacentral:rRNA from 1 species
GGAGUCUGGGCCGUGUCUCAGUCCCAAUGUGGCCGUUCAACCUCUCAGUCCGGCUACUGAUCGUCGCCUUGGUGGGCCGUUACCUCACCAACUAGCUAAUCAGACGCGAGCUCAUCUUUAAGCGAUAAAUCUUUGAUACAUCUAUCAUGCGGUAAAUGUAUAUUAUGCGGUAUUACCAACCGUUUCCAGUUGCUAUUCCCCUCUUAAAGGCAGAUUGCUCACGUGUUACUCACCCGUCCGCCACUGAUCCGCAGAGCAAGCUCUACUUCACCGUUCGACUUGCAUGUGUUAAGCGUGCCGCCAGCGUUCGUCCUGAGCCACUGAUCAAACUCU